rnacentral:rRNA from 1 species
CGGGUGAGUAAUACUUGGGUAAUCUACCCUCGAGAGGGAAACAACCUGCCGAAAGGCGGGCUAAUGUCCCAUAAGACCACAGGAGCGCAUGCUCCAGGGGUCAAAGGUCCGCAAGGGCCGCUUGAGGAGGAACCCGAGUCCUAUCAUGGUAGUUGGUGAGGUAACGGCUCACCAAGCCUUUGACGGGUAGCCGGCCUGAAAGGGUGAUCGGCCACACUGGCACUGAGACACGGGCCAG